rnacentral:rRNA from 1 species
GACGAACGCUGGCGGCGUGCUUAACACAUGCAAGUCGAACGGAAAGGCCCUGCCUUUGUGGGGGGCUCGAGAGGCGAACGGGUGAGUAACACGUGAGUAACCUGCCCUUGACUUUGGGAUAACUUCAGGAAACUGGGGCUAAUACCGGAUAGGAGCGCCUGCUGCAUGGGGGGGGGUGGAAAGUUUCGGCGGUUGGGGAUGGACGCGCGGGUUAUCAGCUUGUUGGUGGGGUAGUGGCUUACCAAGGCCGUGACGGGUAGCCGGCCUGAGAGGGUGAACGGCCACAUUGGGACUGAGGUACGGCCCAGACUCCUACGGGAGGCAGCAGUGGGGAAUAUUGCACAAUGGGCGGAAGCCUGAUGCAGCAACGCCGCGUGCGGGAUGACGGCCUUCGGGGUGUAAACCGCUUUCGCCUGUGACGAAGCGUGAGUGACGGUAAUGUGUAAAGAAGCACCGGCUAACUACGUG